rnacentral:tRNA from 1 species
AGGGAAUUAGCUCAAUUGGUUAGAGCGUCGCUCUGUGGAAGCGAAGGUUGGCGGUUCAAGCCCGCUAUUCCCUCCCA